CCUGAUAUUUAUACUAUUCCUAACAGAAUGUAACCGAAAUUGAGCAAUAUCCUAAGUGAAAAAACAAAACCAAAGGGUAUGGUUUUUUUCACUUUAUUUCAUAGAGAAAAAAAAUUCUCUUUAUGAAAUAUGUGAGAUUUGCUUGCCUUUAUUGAACGCAUAAAAAUGAACAUUGAGAAAAAUUAAAUUGUUAGUAACUUUGGGAGGACGGGGAUUGGUUUGGUUGUGAUCAGCCCCAAAUCGGUAGUAAUUCCUAAUUCGUCGAUGGAUAGAUCUGAAUAAAGGCUGAUGAAUUAUCACUUUGAAGAAAAUUAGAUACCUGUCCUGAAUUAAAAUUAUUGGGAGAAUUUUUUCAAUAUAAGUCUUUUACAAAAUGUGUAAAAUUUCAGAAUAAUCAAUAAAUUGUUUGGAAAUGCAAA